CUUUCCUGACUUUAUUUAUUUAUUUUAUUUUAUUUUUUUCUCCCAGCAGAAUGUUUGUAACCCUGUGAAGUGCAGCUGAAUCACCUUUUGAACUAAAUUAUUGCACUUUUUUUUUUUUUUAACAUGUCAGCUCCUCUUACAUGAGCAUCACUGUAACAACAGGCAUCAUGUGUCUUCUGGUUGAAGGACAGUUCAACAGGCAGCAUUGUUCCAGCAAUUAGCCAGUGCCCCUUUUUUUUUUUUUUUUUUUUUUGUACACUGAUGCUUCAGUGGCUCCACAGACUGAACGCUGCAGUCCAAACAACUGAUUCUUCAAAAAUGACUGUGUGACACCUUCACUCUGACUGGGGGAGGGAAAAGAAAAAUAUGUGCACAAUCACAGACAGACACAGUGUUCACUUGUUGUCAUCAUCACCGAUUUGUACUUCUGAUCUUGACUCAAACUUUUUAAAGGGCAAUAAAAAAUGCCUCCUUCCUUGUAAUUCACUCAAUGUGUACUCAGAGUACAGAGCCCUGUCACUGCACUGCUCACAUUCCUCUACAAUAAAAUACCCGGUUUGAAGAUUGGAAACAUUUAACAACUACAGUAGGUGUUUACAGAAAGAAUUCCGUUUUACCACGUUUAUAUUUCAUUUCAGUUUUCACGGUCGAGGCAUUUUGUCGCCAGCUUCGACUGGAUUUACCAAAAAAUGUCCCUGGAAAUGGUACAAAAAAAUGCAACUGUAAGCUUGAAUUGUUGAUAAUUUUACUUGCAUUGUUCAACAAAAAGGCUGCAGAAAUAACUCCAAACGUCAAAUUCAGCACAUAAUACUGAUAUUUUUAUGCAUUAUCUGCUUACAAGUACCAUUUAUUGACAAUGUGAGGCAAUCAAAACAGCAACCAGCAGUGAGAAUAUGAGACGUUUCCCCCUACAUGGGGUGUAUGUUACAAAUAUAUACACAUAUAUCUUUCUAGUUUCUCAGUAACAAAGUAAAAUCGGACUUGAAUAAAAAUCUUUUGAAAUGACGACACUUGGGCUGUUCUCGCUUAUAUUGUGCAACAUUGGAGCAGAGCAGAGAAGAAAAAAAUUAACAAAGGUUCAAGGCAUCAGGUGAUAAUGAAAGGAUAGGGGCAAUACUUCAAAGACCACGAGGUGCACAUCACACAAUUAUACAAUACAAUUAGGAUUAAAGGGGCAAAAGAGAUAACAGGAGAUAGGGAUAAAUUAUCACAAAAGGAAAGAUGUGACUCUCUCCUGACCUUCAUUAAGAGAGGGAAAAAAAACUCAUUUGGCGCCGGCCUUCUUUGCAGGGGGAUUUGAGCCCUUUACAUGAGACUGUGAGUCACUAGAUAAGAUUUACGGAGCAUAAAUGAGGAGCUGAACGGCUGCCAAACAAUAACAAAAUACGUUUCUUAGAACAGAACAAAUACAGUAAGUCGUGAUACGCAAAUAAAUAUAAAACAUAAAAUUACAUUUAGAGUUAAAAAAAAAAAAUGUGACUGUUGUAGAACGGCACGUGUUUCAUGCCAUGCAGAGCGGAAGUCUAUAAUAAAUAAACAAUUUCAUCGAUUUGUAUUCUGAGUGAACCAGUUUUUGAUGAUACACUUUCACAUUUUUAAAAUUUUGUUAUUCUUGCAACUGUCUAAGCUGCUCAAGUUCACACAUUAAAGGGUAAUUCAACCAAUUUUACACAUGUAGGUUAGUUGAAAUGUGGUGGGAAAAAAAAGUUGUAUGAAGCCUUUAGAGACUCCAGAUGAAGCUGAAUGUAAUCUGAUAAACUGCCUCCAGUGAUGUCACUCAGUGGCCAAGUUGCAUUGUGGGUAAUGUAGGCGCUAUAUUUCUGUUGGACUCAUUGUAGACAGUUUAAACACAAAUGAUCAAUAUUUGUACAGCAGAAUCAGAUAUGUCACCUUUUUCAAUUCCAAGCAUGCUUCAAAGCAUGGUCCCUACAUUACCCACAAUGCAAUUUAUCCACCAAGUGACAUCAUUAGAAGCCAUUUAUAAGAAUAUAUGCAGCUUCAUCUGGAGCCACAAAAGUCUUCAUACUACUUUUUUCCCCACAUAUGCGGUCGUUCUCCCCAAGACCUGUAAACACACUGUAAUGUGCAAAUUUGGUGGAUUUACCCUUUAACUCUGUUGGCAAACAAACACAUGGUGUCAGUCUGUGUCUAUAACAGCCUCACAUCAAAUCACUCAAUAAAACAUGUGACCAGACUGCAGAGAUAAUGAACCACAGUUUUACUGUAAGCACUGUUUGAUCAACAUUUGCCCUCUAGACACAAUCAUGUGUCAAUGUCCUCCAAAAAACACAAACAUGACAAACUUUUUCAAGUUGAACAAGGUAAGAAAAGUUGGAUAACCUCCCUGCUCUGACAGAAAUACAAAAACACCCAGCUCUUCUUCACAGAUUGAAUCUUCCAGUAGUUUCUCCUGCAAGACAGAACGCAUCUGCUUCAGACCUUGCGUUGCUCUUAAAUGGCACCGUAACAACACUUCUUUGACUUUUGUUUAAAGAUGGAAUUAGGGUAUCUCCUGUACAACCAGUCGUCCCAGGUCCAGAGGAUUCUUUCCAUCCUUUCCUCAAGCAACUUUGACUUUUUAAUUUCACAAGCACAAGAACCAGAAUCCUGAUUUGUUCCUCCAUCUCACUCAUAAAUCUACCAGCUGAAGUUCUCUCAUGACUCAAUUCUUCCAGUCCAACCCGUCAUUAUUUGGUCCGUCACACGCUUUCCUGCUUCCAGCAAUGAUCCUGAUGGACUUUCAUGGAGGCAAAUGUCCAAACUUCCUCUUCCUGAAGCUGAACCACGAUGGUCCCAGAUCUCCACUGACAUGCCCACAUCUGGACGAAGACAUCGUCAUCAUCUCCUCCAAGACUUCCCGCCUUCUCUUGCUCCCUUAGUUUUAUACUAACAAUGAAGCAGUCCAACCUGAUCUUCUCCAGGAUAUUGUAUUCCAGCUCUGUAAAGUCUUCCGCUAAUUCUUGAGGUCUUCCAUCAAUCUUAUUUUUCCAUGUUUAACCUGAAUCCAGGAGCCAGAUGAGACACUUCAACAAGGAUCUUGAGGGCACCUCCCCUACCUGAUGUCCACUUGGAGAAGUCAGCUCUUCGGUGUGAGCUCUCCUCAACAACGACAAUGGCUACAGUGAGUCUGAGACCUGAACCUGAGGACGUGGUGCAAAGCUCCGCGAGAGUCAGAAUUUGCAUCCUGAAUUAUGAAGUGAGGAAAAACCUUUAUUGGACAAACGGCUGCGUGUGAAAUCUGAAC